GCAAAGCAUGAUGAUGUUUCCAAAUGUUUCUGUUAUCCAAGUGAUGAUUUUUAUAACAUGCACUACCAUCUGACUCUUC